rnacentral:lncRNA from 10 species
AAGAAGAGCAAUGUAUCGUCUACUAGUUCUGCCUUGGGAGAUGGUCUGCGGAAGUGUUGGGGAUCUGACAGAGAAUGAGAUCACAAGGGGCUGGACUUGGAUUUGGAAUUUAAAGAUUACAUUGAGCCUGCAAACUUACAAACAUCCUGUAUACUACAAACUUGUUAUGUCUUCUUCUUAUACAGUUAUAGUCAGUGCCAGUAGACUGAGAGUUUUGGCAAAUCCACAGUGACUCGCCUAUUCUCUGUGGUGGACACUGUUGCAUGGAAGGAGCUCCCAGGAUUCCCCAGGCGUGUUCUUCUGGUAUGGUGGCUUCUGACUUGGCUUGGGUUACUGAGCCAACUUGAUACCUUCGGUGCUCUGUCUGCUUUUUGCUGUUACCAAGGAUAGUGGACUCCACCCGAGGAAGUUACAACAGGUAGGAGGAGGAGGGAGAAUCAUCCUGAAGAAAAGGAUGAAUUCGCUGUCUGAGAAAAUAUUACCCUAACCAAGCCCAUGGAGUUCUAAGUAUUUGUGUAGACUGUAUGACUGUUCCAAACACUUCACUCUCUCCCAGGAACACAUGAUACAUCUGUACUCUUUGCCAUGUGACUGUAUGACGCCUCCUAGUAAGGUAGGUGGGGAAAACCUUCCCGCCUCACUGACUUUCAGGUUGGCCAUGUUACUUGCUUUGGCCAAUGAAAUGUUAGUGCAAAUACCAUGAACAGAACUUUCAGUGUGCUUGUUUUGUUUGGCUUGCCCUCUUGUACCAUCUUCCAGGAGAGCUUCCUAGGGUGGCAGAUACAUGCAGCCAAUUUAAGCCCAACCUGUAGGCAGAAGCAGAGCUACCCAGCUAAUCUGCAGACAUGCGGGGAACUUGUCUGCUUUAGAAAUGCUGCCUGAUGGACCAGCACCAAGGACGUUUCUUCAGAAGAAAAGCUGUCUCUUUCCCCUGUUCUCUUACAUUCUUUUGCAUAAGACCACUCCUGAGACAGCCAGGUGGGAAGGUGGUCCCUGGAAAAACUCCAACCAGCAUGCGCACUGAGAAGGCGCACUGAGGUGGAGUCACAGAAGUUCCCGCCAUUUGCAAUGGGGAGGAGCCUGACUCCUCCUCUUCCUGUGUGGAACCUGGGAUUCAAACUGCGAGACAGUCCUGCAAUACUACCAUCUUGGAUAACCUCUUUCAAAUCUUUGUAAUUUGAAAAUUUUAAAAGUUAUUGAAUUCAUUUUGUUCUUUGUUUGUGUGUUUGUUUCCUCAGAGAAAGGAAGCCUAUUUAAUGCCAUGUGAAGGCCUCACUCUUUCUUCCUAGUCUUGCU